rnacentral:rRNA from 1 species
GGACUACAGGGGUUUCUAAUCCCGUUCGCUCCCCUGGCUUUCGCGCCUCAGCGUCAGUAGAGAUCCAGCAGGUCGCUUUCGCCACCGGAGUUCCUUCCGAUAUCAACGCAUUUCACCGCUCCACCGGAAGUUCCACCUGCCCCUACCUCCCUCGAGACCAGCAGUAUCCAAGGCACUUUUCCGGUUAAGCCGAAAGCUUUCACCCCGGACUGGCUGGUCCGCCUACGCGCCCUUUAAGCCCAGUGAUUCCGAACAACGUUUGCACGGUUCGUCUUACCGCGGCUGCUGGCAC